GAUGAACGCUGGCGGCGUGCCUAAUACAUGCAAGUCGAACGCUUCACUUCGGUGAAGAGUGGCGAACGGGUGAGUAAUACAUAAGUAACCUGGCAUCUACAGGGGGAUAACUGAUGGAAACGUCAGCUAAGACCGCAUAGGUGUAGAGAUCGCAUGAACUCUAUAUGAAAAGUGCUACGGGACUGGUAGAUGAUGGACUUAUGGCGCAUUAGCCUGUUGGUAGGGUAACGGCCUACCAAGGCGACGAUGCGUAGCCGACCUGAGAGGGUGACCGGCCACACUGGGACUGAGACACGGCCCAGACUCCUACGGGAGGCAGCAGUAGGGAAUUUUCGGCAAUGGGGGAAACCCUGACCGAGCAACGCCGCGUGAAGGAAGAAGUAAUUCGUUAUGUAAACUUCUGUCAUAGAGGAAGAACGGUGGAUAUAGGGAAUGAUAUCCAAGUGACGGUACUCUAUAAGAAAGCCACGGCUAACUACGUG
rnacentral:rRNA from 1 species